GGCAAGAUGACCGAGCGGUUAAGGUGCGCGACUCAAGUUGCUUCAUUGUAACUUCUUCUAGACAACUAGAGCCUCUUCGCGUGUCGCAAGACGCGUGGGUUCGAAUCCCACUCUUGUCA